CUUGGGAGCAAAGGGUACCCGAAGCAGAGCAGUGGUGAGAAAAGGCAAGAGGAGCUGGGGAGCUCUAGCCUGGCAACUCCCUAGGCUAAAGGCCAGCAGAGGAUUCUCAACCUGACCUGACUGGAACACCUGCUGAGGGAUAAUUCAUCUCGUAUGCCAGUUUAAUGCAGGGGCUGUCCUGAACAGUGAUUGACAUCUGUUCUAACCAGUGGUGACAAAUCAAACAUGGGGUGGUGUGAGCUAUUUCUUGUGUGAACUCAUUAUCAUUUUGCUUCUACUAAAGGCCAUUUUUGGAUCUUGCAUCAGAGGAGGAAAGCAUGAAAGUCCUAAAUCUGCCUGAUGAGUGGGAAUAGCUCUCCAGCUCCAUCCACCUGAUAUGAACGUCAUGCUUUGCAUACUCACAGAAAGCUUUGUCUUACUCACCUAAACAGAGGAUUAAAGAAGAAUAAGCAUCCCACCUCUACUGUCUUGCUCAGUCUGCUUGGGUCUUGGGUCCAAGUCUGGUGCUGAGCACUGCCUCUGCUCUCUGGAUACGACAUAAUGGAUAAAGGGGGAAGGAAAGGGGUGGAGAGGAGCAGAGAGUUUGUGCAGCCUUGGCUCCUCCCUCCUUCCCUCUACUGGCUGGCCAGAAUAGCUGGCCAGGCAUCAAGUGGGAGGAAAGCUACACCGAAUUGGGGUGCACAAGAGGAACUGUGACUUUCUUAGCCACAGUUCUUCAUUGGGGUUGCUCUUGGUUCAGUGCAGUUACAUAGUGUGCCUUAUUCAGGGCUGCACAUAAAGACUCAGUGUAGCCUAGAGUUUUUGGUUUUCCUUCUCCAUCUGCAGUCUUAUUCGCUCAUCUUAAUGCUACAUUCUCUCCUCCUCUAGUUGCCUUUGCAGUCUCAGUUUCUCUUCCCAGUGGGUCAGCUGGAGCUGUGACUCUACCCCCAUCUCAUGCUGCAGCUCAGGAAAAUAUUUAAUCCCUUGGUAUCCUCCUCAAGCUGUUAAUGGACUCUGUUUCUUCUCCUUUUGCCCUCUCUUCGCUGCUGGAGUAGAGAGGCAUCUCAGGGGUCUAUCAACACCUUCCUCUGUCAGUUGAUUGGGCAUUGCCUCUGUAUUACCAGCAAGCCCUAGGAGAGGGUCGAAAUGUGGGGGUGCAGAAGAAUCCAUUCCAAUUCUGAAUCUUGCAGUUUGAAAUACAGCUGCUGUUUAGUGCACAGAUAGGGUGUCAUGGAGCCAUUGUUAAAUGGGGGAAGUUACAAAUAAAAUGCUAUAUAUAUCAUCAAA